AUUGAACGCUGACGGCAGGCCUAACACAUGCAAGUCGAACGAGCGGCGGACGGGUGAGUAAUGUCUGGGAAACUGCCUGAUGGAGGGGGAUAACUACUGGAAACGGUAGCUAAUACCGCAUACCAUCAGAUGUGCCCAGAUGGGAUUAGCUUGUAGGUGGGGUAACGGCUCACCUAGGCGACGAUCCCGAGCUGGUCUGAGUGGAUGACCAGCCAAACUGGAACUGAGACACGGUCCAGACUCCUACGAGAGGAAGCAGUGGGGAAUAUUGCACAAUGGGCGCAAGCCUGAUGCAGCCAUGCCGCGUGUAUGAAGAAGGCCUUCGGGUUGUAAAGUACUUUCAGCGGGGAGGCGUUACCCGCAGAAGAAGCACCGGCGAACUCCGUGCCAGCAGCCGCGGUAAUUC
rnacentral:rRNA from 1 species